rnacentral:rRNA from 1 species
GAUGAACGCUGGCGGCGUGCCUAAUACAUGCAAGUCGAGCGAACAGACGAGGAGCUUGCUCCUUUGACGUUAGCGGCGGACGGGUGAGUAACACGUAGGUAACCUACCUAUAAGACUGGGAUAACUUCGGGAAACCGGAGCUAAUACCGGAUAAUAUUUCGAACCGUAUGGUUCGAUAGUGAAAGAUGGCUUUGCUAUCACUUAUAGAUGGACCUGCGCCGUAUUAGCUAGUUGGUAAGGUAACGGCUUACCAAGGCAACGAUACGUAGCCGACCUGAGAGGGUGAUCGGCCACACUGGAACUGAGACACGGUCCAGACUCCUACGGGAGGCAGCAGUAGGGAAUCUUCCGCAAUGGGCGAAAGCCUGACGGAGCAACGCCGCGUGAGUGAUGAAGGUCUUCGGAUCGUAAAACUCUGUUAUUAGGGAAGAACAAACGUGUAAGUAACUGUGCACGUCUUGACGGUACCUAAUCAGAAAGCCACGGCUAACUACGUG